GAUGAAGAACGUAGUGAAAUGCGAUAAGUAAUGCGAAUUGCAGAAUCCGUGAGUCAUCGAAUCUUUGAACGCACAUUGCGCCCUUUGGUAUUCCGAAGGGCAUGCCUGUUCGAGCGUCAUUAUCACCCCUCAAGCCCCGGCUUGGUGUUGGGCUCUCGGUGGUCGUCUCCGACCACCCGUCUCAAAGAUAGUGACGGCGUCCCAGAGGGAAUCGGUACGAGGAGCUUUCACGAGCAUGUACGCGGGACGACUCUGCGGGCGACGGUCUUAUUUACUUUAUAUACAAGUGUUGACCUCGGAUCAGGUAGGAAUACCCGCUGAACUUAAGCAUAUCAUAAGCGGAGGA
rnacentral:misc_RNA from 1 species